rnacentral:rRNA from 1 species
CCCUUAGAUGUUCUGGGCUGCACGCGCGCUACACUGAAGCUAUCAACACGUUUUCCCUCCCUGAGAAGGGCGGGUAACCUUUUGAAUCAGCUUCGUGGUAGGGAUCGGGGCUUGCAAUUGUUCCCCGUGUACCAGGAAUUCCUAGUAGACGCGAGUCAUAAGCUCGCAUCGAUUAAGUCCCUGCCCUUUGUACACACCGCCCGUCGCUACUACCGAUUGAACGUUUUAGUGAGGCAUUUGGACCGACGCAUCUCAGUUUAACCGCUGGUUUGUGUUGGAAAGACUUCCAAACUUGAGCGUUUAGAGGAAGUAAAAGUCGUAACA